GACAGAGGUCCCGAGCGUUAGGCGGAAUCACUGGGCUUAAAGCGUGUGUAGGCGGAUUGGUAAGUACCUUGUGAAAUCCCACGGCUUAACCGUGGAACUGCUUGGUAUACUGCUUAUCUUGGGCCACUUAGGGGCUACCGGAACAAACGGUGGAGCGGUGAAAUGCGUAGAUAUCGUUUGGAACGCCAAUGGUGAAAACAGGUAGCUGGGAGUGUGCCGACGCUGAGACACGAAAGCCAGGGGAGCGAACGGG
rnacentral:rRNA from 1 species